rnacentral:rRNA from 1 species
CGUGUCGAUAGUGUAAUGGCAUAAGCUGGAUUAACUGUAAGUCGUACAUGACAAACAGACACGAAAGUGGAGCAUAGUGAGCCGAUGGUCCGUGUUAGAGGCGGCCAAAGAUCAAAGGAUAAAAGCUACCCUGGGGAUGGACUCUGAAAUAAGAGUCUUGUUGUCCUCCCGCGAAGUAAUUUGCGGAGAAAUAAGGUCGUAUGAAAAAUGGAAGUUUUUUUGUGCGCAAUCUUAUGUCGUGAUAUCUAGUCACGAUACAAACGGCUUAUAACGGUUGACACGCACAGGUCUCCCAGAAAUGGGUUUUAGAGUGCGCAAUCCCGUGGGAAGUCGCCCUGAGAGAAAUCGAAGGGUUGACCCUGUAACGACUUGUUCUGUCGCAAUGGCGACGAAUGUAAUUUCUUACAACUAAAAAUUGAGAAUAUUAUAUUUAUAUCUUUCAAAUAUUUGAAAGAUUGGAACGAAGUGUAAUUCUGCUUCGAACACAGUUUUACGCUAACACGCCGUCCCCUUCCAAAUAUAAAAAUAUUUGUCAGGGUGAUGAUAUAGUCUAUUCACCAGCCAAACACCUGUUAAUACAGAAAUGAACAGGCUGGUUGUGCCUAAGCGUCCAUAGCGACGGCACAGUUCGGCACCUCGAUGUCGGCUCAAGAUAGCGCGGGGGUGAAGAAGCUCCCAAGCGUAUGGCUGUUCGCCAUUUAAAAUCUUACGCGAG